GCUAUGUAGCUUAACCCUAAAGCAUAACACUGAAGUUGUUCAAG
rnacentral:tRNA from 1 species